rnacentral:rRNA from 1 species
AGAGUUUGAUCCUGGCUCAGGACGAACGCUGGCGGCGUGCCUAAUACAUGCAAGUCGAGCGAAUCUUUAGAAGCUUGCUUCUAAAGGUUAGCGGCGGACGGGUGAGUAACACGUGGGCAACCUGCCUGUAAGACUGGGAUAACUUCGGGAAACCGGAGCUAAUACCGGAUAAUCCUUUCCCUCUCAUGAGGGAAAGCUGAAAGACGGUUUCGGCUGUCACUUACAGAUGGGCCCGCGGCGCAUUAGCUAGUUGGUGAGGUAACGGCUCACCAAGGCGACGAUGCGUAGCCGACCUGAGAGGGUGAUCGGCCACACUGGGACUGAGACACGGCCCAGACUCCUACGGGAGGCAGCAGUAGGGAAUCUUCCGCAAUGGACGAAAGUCUGACGGAGCAACGCCGCGUGAACGAUGAAGGCCUUCGGGUCGUAAAGUUCUGUUGUUAGGGAAGAACAAGUACCGGAGUAACUGCCGAUACCUUGACGGUACCUAACCAGAAAGCCACGGCUAACUACGUGCCAGCAGCCGCGGUAAUACGUAGGUGGCAAGCGUUGUCCGGAAUUAUUGGGCGUAAAGCGCGCGCAGGCGGUCCUUUAAGUCUGAUGUGAAAGCCCACGGCUCAACCGUGGAGGGUCAUUGGAAACUGGGGGACUUGAGUGCAGAAGAGGAAAGCGGAAUUCCACGUGUAGCGGUGAAAUGCGUAGAGAUGUGGAGGAACACCAGUGGCGAAGGCGGCUUUCUGGUCUGUAACUGACGCUGAGGNNCGAAAGCGUGGGGAGCAAACAGGAUUAGAUACCCUAGUAGUCC